GGUCAAUGCGGGGAAGUCCGUCAGAGGGGUAACCACGUAUACCCUUAGGUAAGGUUCAUUUUUGAACAGAUACGUUUAUAACAGUUAGUUCGAUAAAACAGCACGAAAUUUUCGUUCAAACUAUACAACACAGAUGGCGCUAGGUGGUGUUUUCAAGCAAUAAAAAUCGUGACAACUUUUAGUUUGGUUGUCACGUUGAAGAAGAGUGAGGCGUUUUGUGUUCAAAGUGAAAAAAAUAAUUCAAAACCAAGUGUUUUUUGAAAGGAAAGCUGGUACAAAUGUAAAACGAAAAUGGUGCGGUAUUAUAAAAGAAAGACAGAUAAAGCUUAUUAUUCAAAAGAAAAGUUACAAGAAACGGAGAGUUAAGUGGAUACCAGGCAGCCCAAAUUUAUAACAUACCGAGAAUGACGAUUAUGGACCAUGUCAAUAAGAAAAGAGUAAAAUCUAAGACUCUCGGAAGAUGCACAGCUCUUUCUCAAGAAACCGAACAUAAACUAGCAUCAUAUCUGCAUACAAUGGAACGUUACGGAUUUGGAUUGAGCAGACAAGAGGUGUUAGAAAUGGUUGGUCAUUACGUGACUUUGAAUGGAAUACCAUAAUAUAAAUAAAAAAAAACCAGCCCUGUCUUUUUUUAACCUAAUUAAUUAUUAUAUGUGAUAAUAAGCUGCCAAAAAGAAAGUAUUAAGAAUUAAUAAGCUUUCCGAUCAUUAUGGUUAUUAUAAUAAAUUUGUUUAUUUUUUGUUAUAAAUUCCUGUUCUCGGGGGUGAUAAUAAAUGACUGAUUAUAUUAAUAAUUAAAUUAAAAGUAAUUGUAUAAGUACAAAGCAUUAAGAAUUAUCUAAAGAAGAAUUAUCUACACUAGAAUGAGAAAUUAACUACUUCACAUCGUUGAGUCAUAAUUUUCCAUCUUGUUGCACCUUAAAGUGUAAUACUAUUGCUCAGUGGCUUCAGAAGUGGCAGUUAAAGAUGAUAAAUAAU